GAUGAACGCCGGCGGCGUGCCUAAUACAUGCAAGUCGAGCGAACAGACGAGAGUGCUUGCACUCUCUGACGUUAGCGGCGGACGGGUGAGUAACACGUGGGUAACCUACCUAUAAGACUGGGAUAACUUCGGGAAACCGGAGCUAAUACCGGAUAAUAUUUAGCUUCGCAUGAAGCAAUAGUGAAAGACGGUUCUGCUGUCACUUAUAGAUGGACCCGCGGUGUAUUAGCUAGUUGGUGAGGUAACGGCUCACCAAGGCAACGAUACAUAGCCGACCUGAGAGGGUGAUCGGCCACACUGGGACUGAGACACGGCCCAGACUCCUACGGGAGGCAGCAGUAGGGAAUCUUCCGCAAAGGACGAAAGUCUGACGGAGCAAUGCCGCGUGAGUGAAGAAGGUUUUCGGAUCGUAAAACUCUGUUGUAAGGGAAGAACAAGUACGUUAGUAACUGAACGUACCUUGACGGUACCUUACCAGAAAGCCACGGCUAACUACGUG
rnacentral:rRNA from 1 species